rnacentral:lncRNA from 1 species
GCUUUGUGUGUGUGUGAUUGAACUUGAGUGGACUAGGCAGGUACUCAACUACUGAGCUUUAUUCAUCUCUAGCCUUUUUGUUAAUUGUUUUUAUGUUAUUGUAUGUACAUGCAUGCAUGCAUGUUUGAUAUGGAGUGGCAUGGGGCAGUGGUGAGCUUUUGAAGGUCAGAGGACAGAUUUGUGGAUUCUUUUAUCUCCUUCUGCGCUUACAUGGCGUUCCAAGGCUUACUUGGGUCAAUAGGCUUGUUUAGAAAGUGUGUUAGUUAAGUUUUCAGAUGUUCUUGCUAAUUUGCUUAAGCUGUUCUUAGAUUCACUCUGUAACCCAUGCUGACCUUCUCUCUUAGCCUCCCUAGGAGGUUUGAUUUUAUGCCUUUGCCCUUCCUUGCCCUUUUUUGUAAGAGAGGUUAAAGGAUCCAUUAUAUCAUAUUCUUUUUAUUGUAAGAAUUUUUUUGAGACAGAGUCUUAGGUACCCUUCUGUGGUCUCAAAAUAGCUUAAGGCUGGUGUUGAAUUCAUGAUCCUACUUCCACUGUCUUUCAAGUGCUGAGGCAGAUGUGUACUAGAUCGUUCAGUUCUUAUCUUUUCAUCUUAUAGAGAACCCUUGGUUCAAUAAAUGGACAUGAAGUGGCACUUCCUUAAGUAAAGAUAUACUUUCCAUAAUGCUCCCAGGUGACCUGAACUUGUUCCUUUAUUUCACUAUGGUUCCAAAUUAUAAACUGGUUGUUCUGAAGCCUGUAUGAAGUCUCUGGCAUCUAGCCAGAUGCCCUUCACAUUGAUUGUCUAUUGAUGACUGAGGGCACUGUAUGAAGUCUCUGGCAUCUAGCCAGAUGCCCUUCACAUUGAUUGUCUAUUGAUGACUGAGGGCAUUCUUUGGCAUUGGCAUUUACUAUCCUGGUGAUACUAUUAUUUCUACUGGACAAUGCUGUUGGAAUUUUUUUCUGUUUGAAGAAAUACCUGUGAACAGCUGGAACUCAGUUGGUAGAAUGCUUGCCUGGUAUUUGUGAAGCCCUGGGUUGUAUCCCCAGCCCUGAUUUAUUAAUUGUGGUAGUAUAUGCCUGUAAUCCCAGCCCUUGGGAGAAAAAAACAGGAAGAUUAUAAUUCAGUGUUAUCUUUGCUGGUCAUCUUGGACUACAUAAAACUCUGUCUCAAAACAGACAGAUGAUGUUAAAUUUGGCCGUACCUGCAACUGCUUGGAGCAACCUAUUGUUGGGCUAUAUUUGUGGUCUCAAUAAAGUUAUCCUUGAUGAAGUUCAAGUGUGAAUAAUCAGAAUUAGAUGUGUAAUGGUUCCGUUUCCUGUUGCUAUUUUAUUUUUCUUCUAGUUUUUGUGGAAAAUACUGGAUUUUCUCUGACAUAGAUUGUUCAGGUUUUGGAAAAGUGUAUACUUUUUGGCAGGAAGAGGUUCUAAGCAUCAUUAUAAUGUAAUUUUAUUUUGUUUUAUUUAUUUUAUUUUUUGAAGUGUUGGAGAUAGAACCCAGAAUCUCUUCCUGUGUUCUGUAUCUCUGUAUACUGUGUACCCAUGUCCAUCUUUAAAAUAAAAUUGUUUAUUUGGAGGAGACAUGCACAUGACUGGAGUGCUCAGCUAUAAGAGGAUAGCCUGUGGGAGCCAUGGCUGCUCUGUCUGCUAUAUGAGUUCCAGGGGUUGAGCUCAGGGAUUGAGCUUUGGUAGCAAGUGCCUUCACCAACUAACUGAGCCAUCUUGAUAGUCCAUCAAGAUGACUCUAGGUUUUGGUUGUAGUUAUUUUCUUUUCAGGAUGCAGAAUCCUUAUAUAAAAAUUUUUGCUUAAUCUCUAAGAAUACAGAAGGUUAGCUAGUACCUCUAAAAACAACCUGUGAAAUUGUGGUCCUUGUUACUCAAAGUACAAUAAACUUUUGAAUUAAUAUUCAGAAUCUUGGCAUUUGGGAACAAAGAAUAGAGAAUGGUCAAUCAAGAAAAUUUCAUUUAUGCACAAAUGAUGACUUGUUUUUAUUUUCUGGAAAAAAAUGAGAACAGGAACAGGAGCAAACCCUACGGUAAAGUUAAGCAGUGUAGUUUAUGAGACACAAAGAGAAGCCAAGAAAAGCUAAACCCAGGCCUCAGAGGGAUUUCUAACAAGGCCUUCCUCGCCUGUGAAACUUUGGAUCUUAUAACCCAGAAUAACAGGUUUGCAAAGUACUUUGUGAUUGAUCUAUUCAGUUAUCCAUGUAUUCAGCUAACUGAUGAGACCAUGUGUGUUCAGGGUUAAUAUUAUUUGGUUAAUAGAUACUUGCUAACAGUUCCUGUAUACCAAGUAUUCUUUAAGUAUCAGCAGAGAGUAUCUCAUUCUAAGGGGAGAAAGACAAAAAGAGUAUCAAGAGUGCUAGAUGGUGACAAGUUCUAUGGAGAAAAGGGACUCACAUAAAAAGGUGUAGGGUGUGUGUGGUUGGUUGCAGUUUACAAUAGGGUGAUUAGAGGAAAUAGGAUUCGGUAGCAUUUGAGCAGUGUCCUCAGGGAAUUAUAGGAACAAACUGUCAACAUUGGGAGUAGGAGCUUCAUAAGGAAAUGGACAAAUUCAGCAUACCUGAGAACUCUCUCUCCCUAUUCAGUAGGAGAUGAUGUUGGAGAGGUGACAGGGUUGUUAUAUAGACUCUAAGCCUUUUAAAGGCUUUUACUCGUUUAUCUGAUAUGUCAUCAGAUUGGAAUGAUUUUAUAUAUCAAAGAUCUGACAUCAUUGUUGUUAUUUUUGGGUGGUGGUGGAUCCUAAGGCCCCCUACAUAUUAAACAGAUAUUUUAUCAUAGUCCUAAAGAUGUUGUUUAAAAAGAUGAUUUGGCUGCUAGAGGAGAAUAGACCAAAGAGUGAGAUAACACAAAUUAUGCUAGCACACACUUAGGGAUUAUUUUGUGUCUUAGGCUGGUGAAAGUCAAUAGGCCAGAGCCACCAGCUGUCAGAAUAGCACUGUUGUAGAGCACUUGCCCAGCAUGUGAAAAGCCUUGAGUUUAAUUCUCAAUACUAGAGUGAAGAGAAGAAAAGAAGAAAAGG